GUGACAAGACACUUAGAGAAGCAGCAUAUGUCAGAUUAAUAUGGGCCUCUGUUUUGUAUUCAGUAUUUUCCUACAGCAGCCAUCAACAAACAGCAUCAAGACACCAACAAUACAGAUUCAGGCCUGGAUAUUUGUAGGAAGAUGAGUGCCAGACUUCAAAACAAACAGAAUGAGAGGACUGAAGUUCUUUGUGUUACUGCUCAACACCACCAGCAGCAGUACAGACAUUCCACAUUGUUGUCAAAGGGCUUCAGCACUGACCACCUCUCAGGAAGAGUAAGUGGUUUAUGUCUCAUGAUCCUCCAUGCCCCUUCCCAAUUCCAUGCCGCCUCAGUCCUUUUUACACCUAAAUAAAGAAACAUUAUAGAGUCAACUGUAGAGAACCACCUGAGCUGCUUUGCGUGGAUGAAGGACUGACUGUGACACUGCUGGUGUGUGAAUCUCUAGAUUUAGAGGGUUCUGUUUAGAACAAACUCAGCUUAUUAAAUGACAAAGUCAUCUAUUCAAAUGCAAUGAACUUAAGCUUUUUCUUUCUUCUAACAGCAUAACUUCAUUCACUUCAAUGGAAUUGCAUUUGGUUUACACAGGUGUGAGAGGGAAAUCAAGUAGCAUAUAGAAAUGUUUUCUUUUGAAAUAUUUUUGGAGAAAAGGGGUAAAAAGCCUGCUUUAAGACCAAUGCAAACAUAUUCAUGGAAAUUUUCAUUAAGGUUGAAAUUUUCUGGACAAAAACUGGAAAUUAUUCCCCCCCCCCAAUAGUUUGAUUUUCAAAAAUCCCACAAACAUUUAAAUGGAAAUCUAAAUAUUUUCACAAAAACUUUAAUUGUAUUUUUAAAGCUUUGAGUUUCCUUUUUGUUUUUUUGUUAAUCAAAAAUUGAAGUCUUUUGUCAAAAACCCUUAGGAAACUAACUUCUUUUUUUAACGUUUCCCAUAACAGAUUUCUUUAAGCAACUUUAAUAGAAUGAUUAAAAGGACUAUGAAUAUGAAACCAAUAAAAACCUGUCACGCCAAGACUGACAAAUUAAACGGAGGUUUACAUAUGUGAAACCAGGGAUGCACAUGAGUUGUUUAAUCUAUAGGUUUAAGAUGUUUCUGCUAACAUAUUUCAUACAGGGGCAAGUGAAGGGCAACGGGAAGGUUUUCCUUGAAUUUAGAUUUUAUACAGGUUACAUAAAACUAAGAAGGAAAUUAAAGGAGAACAGAGGGAGAUUGAGUAAAAACAAAAAGUGAUCCCAAGCAAAAGCCAUCUCUCUACAUUUUGAGCCUCCUCAAGUUAUUGAUGUCCCUUGUAUGAUAUACUCAACAAUUAUCUAGAGCAUGGGUUCCAAAAUUGGUGUUCAUUUUGUCCAAAGCAAUUGGAAACCUCUGAUCUAGCUACUCUGCAUGUUUAAGCACUGCAACAGAGAUACUCUAGAGCAGACUAUCUGCAGGCAGUAAUUAAGGUCUCUUCCUCAUUUUUCUCAGCAACGAACAAUCUGAAUAGGUGCCUUCCCUUAAACAGUCAUUCAACACAACAGAGUGCUGAAGUUUCAUUCACGUAAUGGUAGUGCCACUGCCUCAUAAUAUAGAAGAAUAGAGCGAAAUUCAAAAAAUAAAGAACAAAGCCCUGAGCUGAGGUCUGAAGACAUGGCUUUCAAAACCAACUUUUCCAAAUGUGAGAAGGAAGUUGUGACUUUUGUUUAUGAAACAUUUCUCUUAGAAAGACCAUAAGAGCUAAUUACGAGAAAACAAGAAAGCACUCUUUCACAUGGACAACAGAGAUCCCAGUCCAAAGAGGGAUCAACUUUACAGAGCUUAAAGAGUAUGGUUCAUGAAGAAAAAAGAGUAAAAGAACAUCUGUACACUUUCAACCUAAGACUGAAUGGUUCCAUCACAAUCCUGUUUGCACUUGGCAUUGCUACCCAGCAUUGGCCAGGAUAUGCAGGCACACAGCCAGCUAUCAGCAAGUAAUGCUGGCUGUCUGUGGUGGGAACCAAAACCACCCCAAACUUCCUGGACAUACCUGGCAGGAACAAGAGGUGAUUGAAUUCGUUACACAACCUCUUUCCCUAGUCAUACCAGCUUGGGGAUAACUAGAAUUUGAGUGGUCUCAAAAACUACAGGCUGAGUGAAUGUGAGAGGAACAAAAGCAGGGAGAAAACAUUUGGACAAGAGUUGAAAAUAAGCUGGAGAAGGUGCGUUUGCUGUGUUGUAUGCCCAACAAAUAGUAUUUAGUAAUAUAAGUUUUAUAAGAUGCUGUAAUAUUCCUGAAACUUUUGUAAUAUCAUCCCAAGAUGCAGACCAUUACUUCUUUAUUAGCCAUAGCAAAAAGCACUGAAAUCAUCAUUUGUGUUUAAAAGAAAAGAGAAGGUAUGGGGAAGAAAUUGAAAAGAGAAGAGAGGAAAUGAGAGUCAUCACACCGUAUCUCUCCCAGAAGAACGAAAAUCCAGAAGCUGCUUUCUUUCAGGGAAAAGAACCAGGAAGGAAGUUUUCAGCAAAAUAAGGACAGCAAAAGGGAGGUCAGGCUUCCUCCUGAGCAAAGAGGGAGAAUUUCUUUCAUGGGGUUGCUGUCUGAGUCUAACAGGAAGAGACUUAAGAGGUUACAUCUGCUAGGGUUCCCCAAGAGAUCACUGAGAGUUGACUUGACUGCCCUUCAGCCAUCUACACGGGGAGACACGUUUCCCCUCUCAGACAAGAGUAUAACAAGGUCUAGUGACUACAAGAUGAAACCGGCAGAAUUAAGGCACACUGGUUAUAACAGAGAGUAUUUUCAGUAACCUCCCUAGAUGUGUGGCAGAUUCUCCCAUGAUGUGAGGCUUCUGAAUCAAGGCAACAUAUUUCAAAAGGUAGGUUUUAAUUAAAUCUAAGGGUACAAUUUUUUAUGCAUAGCUUAUGGCUUUUUUUUUAAUAGGAAUUUAAAUUAGAUAAACGUAAUAUAUCUAUUUCUUCUGCCUUAAAAUCCAUAAAAGUGCAAAGAAACAAAUCUUAUGUUGUUGUCCUUUAGUGAAAAUUAUUAAAAUAAUCCAUCUUUCACAAGACAGUUUUGAAGCAGUUUAUGAAACAUUAAUAACCCCCAAAAAGUAUCUUCAAAUCAGGUAGUAAAAGUCCAAAUCUCUCAAAGAAAUGUCUUCUGCUGUGAACUACUGAUGCGAUUCAGGAGCACUUAGUCUCCAGGAACACAAAUACAUUUUAACCUAACAACCAGGCACAGCCACCAAAGUGUUCUGUUUUAUUCCAGUCUCCUGAAGUAAGUAGAAAAGAAACAAAGAGAUUCAAAGACUGUAAUAGAAAUAACUAGGAACAAGGGAAAAUAAAUUAAAAGAUUCAGCCUUUUUGGUAGAAAGGACAUGGCUAAGAGUCAAGUUCUUCUCUCUUGUAAUCCAAGAACCCGAAGGCUUGCAAUGGACAGGAGACAUAAUGAAUUCAAAAUGAAUGAAGGAAAAUGUUCUUUCACUGCAAAUUCAUUGCCAGUCCACAGCUGGCAGAUUCUCAGGGUUCAGUGGAAGAAUCAGCUAAUUCCUACUUCUCCUCCAAACGCUACAUACGUGAAGUCUCAAGUCAAUAUGUACACACCUUGGCCAUGCAAUUCUAUAAUCCUACAGAUGGCAAUAGCUGGUGAAACAAGGUGUGCACAUUCAAUGUGUUUGUGACCUCCUCAAUCACACAGAAGUGAUUGCAUUGGUCUCCCUUCUACAAGCCACACCAGCUCCAUAUUUCAGUGAUCCACUCACAAAGCUUUAGACUCAACAAAAUGUGUAUUUCCUGUUCUCUAAGUCAUACUAUUUACUGAGUGUAACAUGACUUUAGACUGAUCGCUACUCCAGUCAUCCUACUUGGCCCAAAGGCCAGCUGCAGAGAACUCUUCCUUCAAAGUCAAAUGCCACCAACUUAACAGAAAAGAAUGAUCUGAGCGUCCCUUCCCAGAAGACUAUGAGAACUAUGAAACAAGCUUCAAACAGAAAACCGAAAGUCCUUAAAGCAUAGCCAAAAUCUUUGAAGGCUAAGGAACAUAAGAGUGAGCCAGGAUGCAAACCCAGUCCUAACCUUGCAGGCAGUAGCAUAGCUUCCUACGUUUCUGGGCACAAAUUAUCCACUGACUAAAGGGCAUUGGGAACAGUAUUCCUAUGUAAUGGCAUUUCUAUAAUUAUCCAGUAUGAAUUUCUUUGCACCUUUUUCCUAGGUCGUCAGCUCUUGGCUUCAGCCAGUGACAGGACACAUGCGACAGGAUGAAUCUGAUUUUCCCAUUCAUUUCUUCUGCUCUUUGACUCUUCUUUAGCUUUAGGCUUGGAGAGGAACUGUGUCUGCCUGGGUGUUUUGAAAGAGCCUGUUGAAUGCAGAAGCUACUGCACGUGUCAUCAUUAUUUUUGCAAUUAGAGUCAUCAUUCUGUGCUUAGAUGCCGUGCAAGAAAAUGAGAUAUAACUGCCGAGAUAGUUGGCAGAGAGCCUAAUAGAUUAUAGAGUACACAGUGUCAGAGACACAAGCAGUACUCAUCUUAAGUAAGAUUUUAAUACCCUUAAAAGCUGUGAUAAAUUAUAGAGAAAGGCAAUAUAAAAUGUAGGGUAAAGUGUGGGCUCAUUUUAUUUCAGGCUCUCUACCACGCGGGGACGAAAGGAGAGGGGGAAAGGGGAUGGAUCAUGGGUUUUAUUGCUUGGCUGCAAUGUCAAAAUUGGGUUGGUUUAAAAUAUUUAUGACAUGAGAGAAAGAAAAUCUGUGAAUUACUCAGAACUUAAUGUAUGUACUCUCAAUGUGUUUCACAUUUUCUUUAGUUGGGGACAGCAGAGUGGGGAAUUGAGGAUAACUUGUUUACUGCCAAACAGCUCUCCGUAGUACCUAGUUUUGCUAUGUAUUAAAAAUUGUGGCUGGGGCCAAGAAUGCUGGGGCUAGAAUUAAAGACGAGAACACACAAUAACUUUAAGUAAUGGCAGAGAGAUUUAAAUAGCACACAUCAGCAGAAAAGAAUGGGGAAACCUACAGUACACUGACUUCAUUGAUACCCCAUUUAUCAGCAAUUACUGACUCCAUUAAAGGCAGAGUUUACAGCAGACAGAGAAACAGAGCCUAAAAUAUGUCCCAACAGAUGGACGGAGAGUGUCAGUGAUGCCGUAUUUCAAAGGCAUCUGCAACUUUGUUAUCAUUGUACAUGGAGUCAGAAAGACAGCAAAAAACACUGGAGUAAGGGCCAGCAAAUGAUUUACUUGACCCUGCAUGGGCAGAACUGACAGCGAAAACCUCAUUAAUUCCUCAGGUCAUUCUGGAAGACAUUAAUUUGGUUUGGACUCGGGACGAGGGGAGAUUUUCCAGACAUACACUAGGAAUUAUGAAAUCUCUAUAGCCAGAGGAAAGUAUGUCCAAAUCACUUUCUGCAUAAAUCAAGCUGGCUUUCUGAAGAAGGAUAAUAUGCCUAAUCAGGGGAGUUAUGGAACUUCUUGUACUUAUUAGACAGAAAAUAAAACAGUAUUUUAUUUGAUAAUCAGCUUUGGGAAGAUUUUUUUUUUCCCCUCUUUCUUUUACUGCUGUCUUCUCUUGCCAAAGAUGAGUUAAAAAAAGAUCCUGAUUCAUGAGUAUUUGCAAGUGUUAUAAUAUUAUUUGCUGGUGUGGCGAUAUGUGGGUAUGUACUUAAAGAGAGAGUUAUUUCCAUAGAUAUAGGUAAUAGAUACGUAUAAUGUUAGUAUGCCUGCUGUAUUUACACAUCUUUUGGCCUUUUACCUCUGUGCUGCAGAAUACCAAGUACCAUCACCUUCCCUCUCUUAUUCUGUUUAACUCUUACUUAUCCUCAGCCAAAAGCAUCUGCGUGAACAGGGCAAGCAGAGUGGAGCUUCUCCCGAGGAGGCAGAUACUGUGCCAUAUUUCUGCUGCCACAUGGUCCCUCCUCCAGCCCAACUUUUCCCAGCAUUGAUGGACCCUGUUUUCCUCCUCUGAGACAAGGUCAGUUUGGCUCCAAGAGCAGCCCAAAAAGCCCACAGAGCUUCUGCAAAUAGACAGGAGCUGCAAGUUACCCCACCAACCCCCCUGCAAUACAUGCUUUCCAGUACUUAUACAUAAGCCCCUGCCACACAGGGUAUCUUCCUCCGUAAAAGAUGCAUUCAUCAUGUUUAGAGAAGGGUUAUCUCCCCCUGGAAAGAACAUGCAUUAGUACUUUUUACUCAUUCAACACUGGACACUCCCUAUCAACAACAGCCUGCCGAAAGGGGAGAAAGAGGUGAAUUAAUCAUGGAAAGAGACAAUUUAAAGGAGCUUGGUUAUAAAAUGGAGUUCAUUAGGAGGCCAUAAUGUAUUUGGGACUAACAAGGUGCAAUCUCCCCACCUCUGCUGUCCCAGUCAACAAUAAGCAGCACUAAUUGCAUUGACACCAUGUCGCAGGAUGGCCACCUAUAACCUCUUUUAACUCCUUCCAUAGAGCAGUUGCACAAAAACUCCUUAUCUCCUUGGAUUGAGAGAAAACAGUGUUAAGUGGUCUGCAGUUUUCACUCAGGAGCUAAGGUUGUAAUAAUAAGCAUGUCACUUGGCUCCAAGAUUGCAUUUAGAGAGAUCUCAAAGCACAUUACAAAUGCAUAUGGCACAGACAGCAUAUCACUAUAGGCACAGAACCAAGUAACCCCAGUUGGGAACACAGCACAAAGAACUUUUUUCCAUCCAUCCUCCAGGACAUGACAGUGUCCAUUUCUCCCUGCUUUUCUGGUUUGGCUUGUUAAAAAAAAUAUAUUAUGUUGGCUAAUAAUUCUUUUUUUUUUCUGUGCUUUAGAUUUCUCUCUAUUUCUGUUUCAUGUUAGUAUUAUGCAAAACGGCCUAUACAAAGCACUAUUGAAAACACUGCCUCUUUAGAGGAUUGGGUCCAGGACAAAGAGAGAGGUCAACCACAGACUGAAAUACACAAGUGACCCAAGUUUGUACAGUGCUGCACGUCUGGACUUCUUUUGAUUAAGUCAAAACAAGCCAAUUUUUUCUAAGGCUAAAUUACAUUUCAGUUAUUGUUGCGAUGUUAGCUGAUGACCUGAGCUCUAUGCCACACACUAGAAUCUAAUACAAACCAAAUAUUUCAUUUGGGAAGCUUUUGUUGCUCAUCAGCUGCAGAAAUACCACAGGAGGCAACUCUGCCAUGGGGAACUAUGUGCUCUGCCAUCACCUAAGUGCUCUCUCCAGAGAGGGUCGUGUUCUUGCUAUUACAAGGGUGAAAAGAAAGGCAUUGCCAGCCAGUUUGCAGGUUUAGGAGUAGGCAACCUCAAGAAGGAAGACAAGUAACUGGGAAACAUUUUGCUACGAGUAAGAUAAAUGAUGGAAACAACUUGCAGUGUACAAAUAGCAUUUCUUGAUUCCACUGACACUAUCAGUUUAAAAGUGCAAAUAAAAAAAAUCUGGGGAUUCAUUUUCAUGCUCAGAUUAUCUCUGUGUAAAGGAACUGAAAACAAAAGUGAAUUGUAUGUAUGACCAGUUUGGCUGAUAGAGUGAUAGAAAUCGAUCUCAGCAUAAAUGAAAAUCAGACCACAGGAAGGUCUCUGUUCAGUCGUGGUGACUAGAUGCCUGAAUCCAGAAAAAUAUGCAUUUUUAAAGAAAAUGGCCACAUUUCAAAUAACAUUUGAGGUUAUUCAAAUAUUAAGAGAUGUUUUUUAUUCCUUGCACCCUCUGUAAGUCUUUUCUUUUUUCUUAUUCUCUUUUUCUCCCUCUUCUC